UAUUACUGCUAAUGUUAUCGGUAUCGGCUAAAUUGUAGUCACUCAUAAUCAUGAUUAUAAUGCACUUUAUUAAUAUUGUACUAUUCUUAUCAAUGUUCCAAAAUGCUUAACAAGAAGAAAGAAAGGCUAAAAAGCAGACAAGGACAUGGCCACAUAAGAAAUUAAAAUAGGAAAAAUGAAUAAAAUCCAAAUCCAAAUUUAUAUUUAAAAAAAAAAGUCUAUGUAAAUGCUAAUCAGACAUUCCCAAAAGUUUUCAUGACGAGAAAGUGUGUGGGCUCAAAUAGCCAAAGCUCCAUCACGCUUUGACAAAAACUGCAGCCUGGGUGUAACCAGCAGGCUUCACCGGCUCUCCUCAAAGCAGAAGUGGUCUCAACGUUGACAUUUGUCGGCUGUAGGAAGAAUCACGUGAUGGACCCGACUACAUUUUAAAGCUCACACGACACAAAGAUCCCGAUGAGCCUGACAACCGAUUGAAAAAAUGAUAAUGGAACAAAUGCAGGUUUCUAGUCGUAGGUGAGGAGAUUACAGGUUAUUGAGCAUCGGUUGGUGCACAAGGCUCCAUCUUGUCUUCACAGACGGUGGAGCGGCCUACGCCCAUGUGUGGUCAAACCAGUAUACAGGGAGAACCCAUUAACUCUGGUUCAACCUGUUUACUUGUGAGUCAGACGGUUCAUUUUUCCACCCAGAUUUUUUCCCUCUGGGAUUAACAAAAAACAAUGCAGAGGAAACUUUGUGCGGCUGAUGUCGCUCGUGUCAUGCAUAGAAUAGAGUAGAAUAGAAACUUUAUUUUCCACCAGAGUGGAAAAUUGUCUUUCGCUCAUCAGUAAACGCACAGAGGCCUGAACAUAGGCCUGAAGACUGACAGUCGUACAACACAAACAGCAAUGACAGACGGGGGUUGGCAGGAAAGCACUUUAAAGGCAACAUAAAAGCCACAUAGAAACAACAUAAAAGCCACAUAAAACGACAUAGGAGUGACAUAAAAGCAAAAUAAGAAGAGUUUCAUUUCUGCGGAUAAGCAGUAUAAUAAUGACACUAUUGACACUAGGAAUAAAAGAUUAUUUGAAGACGUUUUUAGUGGCCAGUGGGAAUCUAUAGCGCCUCCCGGAGCCCAAGGCCUCAAACUGGCUGAAGAGAGGAUGGUCGCCAUCUGCCAAGAUGUCACGCCAGAGUGCCGAAGUGAGAGUCUGCCCCCUGCUGCGCCGAGAAAUUGAAACGACAUGACUUGAAAUGUCAGUGGCGAUGGCUAUACUGUGGUACAAGACAAAAUAAAUCCAAAUAUACAAUAUAGGACCAUGAGGAUACACAUUCUCGUAAACAUCAGUGGUACAAACAAAAACAAAAAAGAAUGAAAGAAAACAUAACUCAAACGGAGGCAUGGUAUGUAGAAAAGAUACAAAAUACACAUGCCGGGGCCGGGGGAGCGAAACAAGGCAUCAGUGUUUCAGCAAAAAGAAAAAGAAAAUCCCCAUUUCCUAUCAUCACACAUCAGGGCCAUGAAAACAUCACCCACAAGCAAACGCUGACCCGAGGAGUCAUCUUCACAGAAUGAACGAUUCAUCGAUACAUCAAUCAGUUAGCCAAUUUACUGAAGUGCAGAAUCCAUAUCCCAGGAAGUUGGCAUUGGACGGAUGGUGAUGACGGCAGUCGAGGACAGGGUGGGUCGUUUAAGGUCUCGGCAGUGAGGGAAAGUACCCACUCCUUUCCCAUUUUGAGGGCAUGAAGAUUUCACCUCCUAACUCAUCGCUCAUCUAUCCAGGCCUAAUCAUCACCGUGUCACGUGUUAUUUCAAUGGACAGAAGUUUGUGGCUUGAGAAAAAAUUAAAAAUAAAAACAGAUGGUAAAA